CCCAGUGGUGGUGCAGGCCCCCAGGGCCCCUUCUGCUCCGAGCUCAGACUCAGAUCUGCCCCUCCCACGUGCUGUGUGGCCUCGGGCAGGUUGCUGAGCCACUGCACAUCUGUCUCCCCACCGAAAUAGCACCUGCCGCGUGGGGCCGUGAUGAAGACUGACUGAGCAUUUGCAGCACCAGGACAGCACCGGGCAGAGAAAUAUGACAGAAACCUGGAACCGUGAGAAGAGCGUGGCUGUCAGCCCAGACUCCUGGCACGGAAGACGCCAGACAAGCCAGCAGCAGGAGCAUGGAGCCCGGGCCCCUCCGGGGAGGCGUGGCCCCCGGCAGGCACAAGGGUCUUCUGUGGGUGUGUCUGACCCUCAGCAUCAGCUGACUUUAAGUAAAGAUCAUCCGAGGUAAUCUGGGUGGGCCUGGCUCGAUCAGCUGAGAGGCCUGAAGACCAGAGCUGAGUCCUCACCAAGGAAGAAAAACUCCCACCAGCGGACAGCAGCUCAGCCCUGCCCGCGAGCUCCAGCCUGCCCAGUGGACUCGGACUGGCCCAGCCGCCCCACGAUCAAGUGAGCCAGCUCCUUGUAACACAUUCUCACU